AGGACGACGGAGGCAAGGAAGCUGAGCACGGCGACGGCGGCUGACGGCGGAGCAGCACAGGUCGACGAGCACCUCCCGGGUCAAGCGGCAGCUCAGCAUCCUCCCGCUCCGUUUCCGUGGUCGUUUCUUUUUGUGGCCUUCAUUAUUGACCAAUCUCUACCUUGAAAGUUGAAAGGGAGCGUGCAUCCACUCCACUCCAGCCACAAAAAAGGAUGCCUCCCUUGCCUAGUGCAACUUGUUGAAAGCUCUCCGGCGGCUUCACUUCCUGGCGCCUUGCUCUCCUAUCGCUGAUUCUUCUGGCUGGGUUGCUUCUUAUCACGACUGCCGCGCGAUUGCCGCUUUGCUCUUCCACUACUGUCCGCGACUCCAGUACUCGUUUUGGUUUUACUUGCGCGAUUCUGGAGAGGGGGCAUAACUCGUUUGUGAUCAAGCUCAUCUUUCUUGAACUGAUUUCUGGAAAGACAGGAGAUCCACGGGUACUCUCGCCCCACGGAACUGCUAAUGAGUCGCCAAGCCAGUGCUGCACGAAAUGACCUUGAGCACAUGCUAUCUCAUGAAAACGAACAGCCAAAGGCCUUGCAAUUAUCACUUUUGGAAGAUAUCACAGAUGGUUUCUUUGAGAACCGUCAAAUUGGCAGCGGUGGGUUUGCGGUGGUUUAUAAGGGAGAGCUUGAGAAUGGGAUCGUUGCUAUGAAGAAGCUGUUUGAAAGGCUUGAUAUUCCCAAAAAUAAAUUCAACGGAGAGAUUCGCUGUUUGAUGAAGGUGAAGCACAAAAUUAUAGUAUGUUUUUUGGGAUAUUGUGCAAACAUGUAAGGCGAAACGGUAGGCUACGAUGGAGAUUUUGUCAUGGCAGAUGUACGUCAAAGGUUGCUCUACUUUGAGUAUGUACAUAAAGGAAGUCUUGAUGGGAACAUCAAAGGAGGCAACUGCACCGUGGCUUGGGACGCGGUAUGCAGGCCCAAAUGGGCAGGUGGAUUGGGGAUCCCAAACCUAGAGUGGCUCAAUAAGGCUUUGUGAGCAAGGUGGAGCUUGGUUGCAAAGGGCGGACAGAAGCAGGCCAUGGUCCGAGUUCUACAUCCUGCCGGCGGAGGCUUUGGAAUUGGUAUGAGCAGCGGCUUACAAUAUGGUGGGCAAUGGCAGAUCUACAUACCCUCUUCUGGGAAAAUAGAUGGAUCAAUGGUUUGAGGAUUCAGGAGAUUGCAUCGAUGGUGCACGAAUUGAUACCGGAUCGGACCAAGAGAUCAAAGUUGGUUUCUGAUGCGCUGCUAAAUGACAGCUGGGCAGGCGACAUCGGCCCCAACUUAUCACUCCAAGCGCUUCAGGAGUUUUUGCGGCUGUGGCCGCUGGUCACUCAACUAACAGAUGACGUCGAGGACGUGGUGACAUGGUCGUGGGAAAAGAACGGCCAGUACUCGGCUAGAUCAGCUUAUGCAGCCAGAUUCAUGGGGCUUGUUGUCUCCUCGACAUCGGCAUUCACCUGGAAGUCGAGGGCACCCUUGCAGUGCCGUUUCUUCGCAUGGCUAGCCCUCAAGAACGGAUGCUGGACGUCCGAUCGUUUGGCCCGCCGCGGACUAGCACAACAAGACACAUGCCCCCUAUGCAACCAACAUGAGGAAACUAUCCAACAUCUGCUUGUGAACUGUGUCUUUGCAAAGCAGGUCUGUCAUUCGAUGGGGGAGAAUCAUGUGCAGGCUAGAAUUUGAACCCCAAAAUGGUGAAGGCCUCGACGAAUGGUGUUCUAGACAGGAUCAAAGCCCAAUGCACCGCAAAUUGACUCGGGUAAAAUCCCUCCUUGGGAUGUGGAUGUUGUGGAAGCACCGGAAUGACAUCGUGUUCAACGGUGCCACACCGUCUCUACCUGCAAUUUUCCUUAGAAUUAGAGAGGAGGGAAUUCUAUGGGCGAAGACUGACCUCAUGAAAGGCAACACCUUUGCUUUUGAGGCGGAUGACGGUAGGCCAGACACCUGAGGUGUAGUAGUAGCUAGUUCGUCCGGUGGUGUCGGAUGAUCCCGAUAUGUAAUUAUUGUUGUAACCGUGGAUUUGGGAGGCUUCCCUUUUCUUCUUUAAUGAAUGAUACACACACUCGUGCGUAUUCGAGAAAAAAAGUAUUUCAAUCUUCAUAUAUGUCAAAUAUGAAGAUGGAUCAGUGGAAGACGGCGGCGGCGAUCUCUGAGAAUGCGUCGGACCGGUGUGUGCCCCAGACCCAGUAUGAGUCUUGGUUGGGGCCUUCGGCUUUACAUGUUAGGAUUUGGUGCGAGGUCUGUUUGAUAUUCGGCUCGGGCCGGGGGUCAUCCUCCUUUUCCAAAAAAAAAUAUGUCAAAUAUUAACACCUUACUUUCUCAAUUCU